UAGGGAAUCUUCCACAAUGGACGCAAGUCUGAUGGAGCAACGCCGCGUGAGUGAAGAAGGUUUUCGGAUCGUAAAGCUCUGUUGUUGGUGAAGAAGGAUAGGGGUAGUAACUGGCCUUUAUUUGACGGUAAUCAACCAGAAAGUCACGGCUAACUACGUGCCAG
rnacentral:rRNA from 1 species